rnacentral:rRNA from 1 species
GUUGAACGCUGGCGGCAGGCCUAACACAUGCAAGUCGAGCGGAUGAAGGGAGCUUGCUCCUGGAUUCAGCGGCGGACGGGUGAGUAAUGCCUAGGAAUCUGCCUGGUAGUGGGGGAUAACGUCCGGAAACGGGCGCUAAUACCGCAUACGUCCUGAGGGAGAAAGUGGGGGAUCUUCGGACCUCACGCUAUCAGAUGAGCCUAGGUCGGAUUAGCUAGUUGGUGGGGUAAAGGCCUACCAAGGCGACGAUCCGUAACUGGUCUGAGAGGAUGAUCAGUCACACUGGAACUGAGACACGGUCCAGACCCCUACGGGAGGCAGCAGUGGGGAAUAUUGGACAAUGGGCGAAAGCCUGAUCCAGCCAUGCCGAGUGUGUGAAGAAGGUCUUCGGAUUGUAAAGCACUUUAAGUUGGGAGGAAGGGCAGUAAGUUAAUACCGUGCUGUUUUGACGUUACCAACAGAAUAAGCACCGGCUAACUUCGUG